GAUAAACGCUGGCGGCGUGCCUAAUGCAUGCAAGUCGCACGGAGUCAUCUUUCGGGGUGAUUGAGUGGCGAACGGGUGAGGAACGCGUGGACAACCUACCCCGGCGUGGGGGAUACCCGCCAGAAAUGGCGGCUAAUACCGCGUACGGUCCAGGGGCGGUGGGCCCCCUGGAAGAAAGCAGUGAUGCGCGCUGGGAGGGGUCUGCGGCCGAUUAGCUGGUUGGCGGGGUAACGGCCCACCAAGGCGAUGAUCGGUAGCUGGUCUGAGAGGAUGAUCAGCCACACGGGACUGAGACACGGCCCCGACUCCGUACGGGAGGCAGCAGACAAGGUAAUUUUCCGCAAGUGGGGGCAACCCUGACGGAGCAACGCCGCGUGAC
rnacentral:rRNA from 1 species